CGGGUGAGUAACACGUAGGUAACCUGCCUCACACAGGGGGAUAACAGUUAGAAAUGACUGCUAAUACCGCAUAAGCGCACAGGGCCGCAUGGCCCGGUGUGAAAAGCUCCGGCGGUGUGAGAUGGACCUGCGUCUGAUUAGCCAGUUGGCGGGGUAACGGCCCACCAAAGCGACGAUCAGUAGCCGGCCUGAGAGGGUGGACGGCCACAUUGGGACUGAGACACGGCCCAG
rnacentral:rRNA from 1 species